rnacentral:rRNA from 1 species
AUUGAACGCUGGCGGCAUGCCUAACACAUGCAAGUCGAACGGGUUGUAGCAAUACAACUAGUGGCGGACGGGUGAGGAAUACAUAGGAAUUUGCCUUUAGGUGGGGGAUAGUCCGGGGAAACUCGGUUUAAUACCGCAUGAUGUCGCAAGACCAAAGCAGGGGAUCGCAAGACCUUGCGCCUUUAGAGAAGCCUAUGUCGGAUUAGCUAGUUGGUAGGGUAAUGGCCUACCAAGGCGACGAUCCGUAACUGGUCUGAGAGGACGAUCAGUCACACCGGAACUGAGACACGGUCCGGACUCCUACGGGAGGCAGCAGUGGGGAAUAUUGGACAAUGGGCGAAAGCCUGAUCCAGCAAUGCCGCGUGUGUGAAGAAGGCCUUCGGGUUGUAAAGCACUUUAGGCUGGGAAGAAAAAGCUUUACCUAAUACGUGAAGCCUUGACGGUACCAGCGGAAUAAGCACCGGCUAACUCUGUGCCAGCAGCCGCCGUAA